rnacentral:lncRNA from 1 species
UCGGUACUCUCCUCUCCUAGGGCAAUGAAAAUUUUCUUGUUGUACCAUACAAAACACCGACAAACAGCUCAGGAAUUCCUUGAUGCAAUGAAUAAUAUGAUCAACUUAACUCUUGAUGCAGUUAACCCAGAAAGAAAAUUCCCAUAACGAUGCACAUCAUUUCACAUCCCAACCUUCACAAUGAAGAUGUUACUUCCACCAGAUUUGAUCAAACAGGAACACGCAUGCAUCAACUACUUCUCAGAUGAGGUGAUAAAAAACAUCUCGAGUCCACUACACAUCCCAGGAAGCACAGGUACUUCGCGUCUCUUGCGCGGCAGCGUGGUGCUAGCCGGACAACACAUCGGCGUGGGCAUGGCACAACCCUGAGCUGCCGGUGGAUGUACACGACGCUGCUUAGAUCCACCGUUGCCAUCUACAACGUGGAGAUUGAGGAGAGGUAAGGAGGUGGAAGGUGUGGGGCGGGGCGGGGCUGGUCGAGAUCAAGGGGGCGUCCAUUUAUAGAGUAGACGAGAGGAGAGGAGAGGGGAGCGUAGGCAGCGAUGGGAUGAACGGACGGAUGCGUCGGUUUGGGAAGAGGAUAGAACUAAUGGGGUGCCUAGUUUCAAGGAGGAAGACGAGGGAAUCAAGGGAGGCUCUCUUGAUGGAAGGAAGGAAGGAAGGAAAGAGGUGUAUUCAUCCAGCCGUGGAAAACGCUAGCUGCAUGCAGUAAUUAUUCCUUUAAUUUCCUUGUCGCCAGAUUGACGCACACGCGCGAUGGAUUCCCUCUCUGACUCUCUCUAUGGUAUGGUAUGGUAUGUACUGCACAAACGAUUUAGUCCCAGCGCUCCCAGAAAUUACGCCGGCCACGUAAAGGUAGCCAGGCACUUUCCAUGUGUGUAUGCAGUAACUUCUUCCCAUUUGCUCGUGUCAGUUUUUAUUUUUUUAGGGAAUUUGCUCGUGUCUGUAUCUUUAUUUUUAUCUGUUUGAAGGAAUUUGCUCAUCUAAGACAAGACUCGUUCUCUAUAUAGCCAGGUGGGUUUUUUCUGUUCACAAUUUGAUUUUCUCAUGUAAGAUAAGACACCAGGUUUGCAAGUGCAUUCCUAGCAUAAAAGGUUUUUCUGUUCACAAUUUGAUUUUCUCACGUAAGAUAAGACACCAGGUUUGCAAGUGCAUUCCUAGCAUAAAAACACCGGCUCCAAUCCAAUUACCAGGUUGGCAAGUUUCAAAGUCCCUGCAUUGAACAUUUUUUCAUAACUUGUUAGAUUAUAAUUGAAAAAACCCAGAGAACACUCAUUCAUUCUUGACACCGACAAACUCGGUACUCUCCUCUCCUAGGGCAAUGAAAAUUUUCUUGUUGUACCAUACAAAACACCGACAAACAGCUCAGGAAUUCCUUGAUGCAAUGACUAAUAUGAUCAACUUAACUCUUGAUGCAGUUAACCCAGAAAGAAAAUUCCCAUAACGAUGCACAUCAUUUCACAUCCCAACCUUCACAAUGAAGAUGUUACUUCCACCAGAUAUGAUCAAACAGGAACACGCAUGCAUGUGCGCGCGCACACACAGCGCAGUGCAAUACAUCUUCACCAAAACAAAGUUAAAUAUCUAUGUCAUCAACUACUUCUCAGAUGAGAUGAUAAAAAACAUCUCGAGUCCACUACACAUCCCAGGAAGCACAGGUACUUCGCGUCCUUCCAUCACAAACAUUACAACAUGACAGAGCCAAACUACUACAUACAUGGCUUAAUUCUGAAACCUAACCCAUCAAUGGAGAAAGCUCGAGGACGACGCCGCCAUCCAGUGCAUCUUUAUCAGCAGAGAAAGCCCGAGGACGACUGCACCAUCCAGUGCAUCUUCAUCAGCGGAGAGAGCCCGAGGACAACGACGCCAUCCAGUGCAUCUUCAUCAGCGAAGAAAGCACGAGGACGACGGCGCCAUCGUGUGCAUCUUCAAGCCCAAACCGCGUCAACUUCUGCAGCACCGCUUGGCAAGAGAAAAUGACCGGUGUCGCGCGCGAUGGAGAUUUUCCAUCAUGUCCGGUAGGUUUGAUGGACGAAAGGAGUAUCUUCCCGAGGAAUGCAAUCUGGGUGGACAUAAAAAGAUCAGUCUAGUGCAGAGGCAAUGUAAUGCAUCAGAGGAAUGUCAGAUUUCUCAGCAGUAAGCCACACAACAAUUCUCUUGUGUCAAAGGGAAUUUAUAGGAAUUAACAAGACAACAUCUUCCCCUAAAAACAAUGCAUACUUAUUCACCAGCCUAGGAAUGCAAAGUGCUCGUUCCAGUUCCACACAAUGAAAGUUAAGUGUUGGACCUGAUCAAGACAAGACAAAAUUGCCAUAGAUAGGCUCACUUGUGUGACCAGCAGAAGAAUUUUCGCUACAAGAUCUCAUCUUGGCUUGUCAAAUCUCAUACUAGACAAAUUGUUGGACACUAGUGAAAACAAGCAACAUCUCCGGGUAAUUGACGACCGGGACACGCAGGACAUGAGAGAGAGAGAGAGAGCAAAGAGAGAUACCUUGACGAUCUCCAUGGUGUCGGCAGCGGGGUCGGAGCAGCUGCUGCGUCCAUGGAAGAGGAGGCACACAGUGGUCUACGCCUGAGGACACCAACAUUAUCAAGUUAGUAUGUGUCGUUAGUAUCAACCUGAAGAUAAAUCUGCUGCAGAGUUUUCAGUUUUCUGAAGAAAGAAGGAACUAAAAGUUUCAGGUUUCUGCAGUUUAGUCGUCUCUGAACAUAAAUUGCAGCAAGCAAGCAAGCAAAUAUGGAUAGGCAUGAGAGGGAGUAAGGGCCACUGAUGAUGAAUGCUGAACUAGGAUGAGCAGAGCCUGCACUCACCACCCACAUAGAAGGCAAUAACAGAAUCCCUUCCCCUGGCAUGAGCUUCGGAUCAGCGGUGGCAUAUGAUCUUGCCUAUUGAGGAUCCUCCAUGGACAAGGGAAGGUGUCAUCAGACCACCGCAGUCCAAUUAGUGCUAUACGGCCUGCACAAGGAUCACAUGAGACAUGCAUGGUGAAUGCUACAGAAAAACAAGACAAGCGUUUGCUCAAUACAGAAAAACAAGACAAGCGUUUCCUCCAUCGUGGGAGCAGCGGCGACCCGGGAAUAAGCAGACCCGGAGGAGCGAAGCAGCGGUCUUCUAGGUCAAAUCGAAACAACCACACAAGCACUUGACAAAGCAGCAUCACAAGCUGCCAAAAUGCAACAUCACAAGCACUUGAGUUAUAGUCAAGACCGUCGACAAAAGGGAACAUCAGGCCAUAGUAAGGUUGCUGCGAUGGUGAUUCGAUAAAACAUCACAUACUUUUCUGUACACAGGGCUCCUCUUUUCGUCCUUGAGGGAGUUCUUCUCCUCCACCAAAUCCAUCAUCUCCUCUUUCAAAACAUUGUUAUCAGCGGGAUGGAGUGCUCCUUCCCUGAGGCGGGCGUCUGGAACGGCGGUUCAUAUCAUGUCCUCAAUGUCCUGCACUCCACCUUGGUCAUCAUUGAGGGUCUCUGUUGGGCAAACAUCAACGUCAAAGCAGAGAAAUGGAGUCACACCAAUGGACAUGGCAGCAUUUAAGAAAUGGAAAUACAUAACUAGUACUCCCUCUGUAAAGAAAUAUAAGAGCGUUUACAUCACCGCUUUAGUGAUCUAGACGCACUUAUAUUUGUUUACAGAGGGAGUAUAUGUGAUAGUGUUACCAGUGCAAGAGAGAGAAAUUGCAAUCUUACGCAGUUUGAAUAUCAUGUUAUCUUACUAUUACAAGUGUGUGUUUAUUAUAAACGACAUGGCAGGCAGCUCAGGUCUGCACCUGUCAUCAUUUUGCCCAUACAUAUACAUACAUACAGCAAGAGAGGCAAAACUUAGCAGAUUGGAAGGCUUGUUGUACAGGGGCGUGAUCACAAACGAAAUAGUAGAGUAGUAUUUCAGGAUGCUGCUAUAUAUUCUGUAGCAAACAAAGUUGUACGCUCCAUACAAAGUGAUGUAAUAAGACUAGACAUAAUUGCCAUAGAAAGGCUAGCAUGUGGGAAUCGCUACAAGAGCUCAUGUUGUCUUGUCAAAUCUCAUACUGGGCACACACACACAAAUUGUUGCACUAGUGAAAACAAGCAGCAUCUAUGGGUACGUAAUUGAUGGCCGGGACACACACGACAUAAGAUAUACCUUAAGGAGCUCCAUGGCGUGGACGCCCAUGGAAGAGGCGGCACACAACAGUCUGCGCCUGAGGACACCAACAUUAUCAAGUUAGUAUGCUUGGUUAGUAUCAUCAACCUGAAGAUAAAUCUGCUGCAGAGUUUUCAGUUUCCUGAAGAAGGAAGGAACUAAAAGUUUCAGAUUUCUGCAGUUUUGUCUGUCUGUGAAGAUAAGUUGCAGCAAGCAAGCAAGCAGGCAAAAUAUGGAGUAUCAAGUUUCCUAGUGCUCCGUCAAAUUGUAAGAUUUGCUAUGCAUGCUCGUGUCAGUAUUUUAUUUUAGUUUUUGAAGGAAUUUGCUCAUGUGAAGAUUUCGGUAUGAGAUACAUGGAGCUUUUUCAGAGUUGUUUUUUUCUUUCUGUAAUACAUGUGAAGACUUGGGUAUGAAAAAUGGAGCUUUUUUCAUAGUGAAAAGUGAUAUUUUUGGUGUCGUUUUGUUGUUGCUCUAAUCGGCAUGUAUCUCAUACUGGAAGACUUUGGUAAUUGAUGGUCGGGACAUGAGAGAGAGCAGACUGAGUUACCUUGACGGUCUCCAUGGCGUCCGCAGCGGCAGCGGGGUCUCGGAACAGCAACAUUACCAAGUUAGUAUCAACCUGAAGAAUAAUCUGCAGAGUUGUCAGUUUUUCUGAAGAAGGAAGUAAAAGUAUGAGAUUUUUUGUAGUUCUGUCUAGCUCCGUCCGAAUACAAGUUGCAGCAGCAAGCAAACACGGAUAGAUGGGCGUUGACAAGCUUACCGUGAUUAUUUUGCAGCCAGUGCCGAACAACGUCGUGCCUCGUUGGUCGAAGGGAGACACACACGAUGAGCCCCUUGUCCUCUGCAUUAACCGGGGAUGAUGCAGUACCGAAUCAAUCAUGCUGCUGCACAAGGACAUGAUAAAUAACAAAUCUUGAGUCAAAUGGAAAAUCUUGAGCUCCAAUCAUAAUGAGAGAAAAGAGGAAAUCAUGUCAAUGAUCCUGAAACAAUAGCAUAAGGCAAAAGAAUAGGAGUAUUUUAGCAUAAGGCAAUGAUCUUGAAAACAGCGGGCAAUCGAGCUGUCUAAGCCCAAACAAUAGCAAAUGUGGAGAACACAUUUGCAACACAGAGACACGCAUUGGUGAUUUCGUGCGGACAUGUCAAGAGCACAACACACACAUGGGGUUGAGAUGAACAUGAGAAGAGAACAUUACUACAGUAGAAAGCAUGAUGAUAUGUGGCAGCCUAUAUGAUUGGAGCUGUAGCAACAAGGGAGCUGAAUUACACGUCCUAACUAAACCCAGGACCAAUGGCUCGGUUAUGAGACAAUUGACAUGCAAGCCUAGCACAUAGGCAAGCAGAUUACUCUGAAUUUCCUCUCCAACACAUGUCUGAAUCUGGCUGUUGCUAUGUGUGGGCGUGUGUUGCGAAACUGAAACUAUGAAUUUCCUCUCGAAUACAAGUCUGAAUCUGGCCUACUAUCAUUCGUGUACCUCACCUCCCCCAAAUCGAUCUCUUAAUUUGUAGUUGCAAAACUGAAAGUUAAGUGUUGGAAUCAAUCGAGCCAAGACAAAACAAGCAUAGAUAGGCUCACUUGUGUGACCAGCAGAAGAAUCAUCGCUACAAGAGCUCAUUGUGUCUUGUUGAAUCUCAUACUCCCUCCGUCCCAAAAUAAGUGGCUCAACUUUGUUCAAACUUUAGUACAAAGUUGAGUCACUUUUUUUGGGACGGAGGGAGUACUACACACGCGCGCACACGCACACGCACGGUUGCACUAGUGAAAAGAGGCAACACCUCCGGGUAAUUGAUGGCCGGGACAUGAGAGAGAGCAGAGUGAGAUACCUGGACGGGCUCCAUGGCGUCCGCAGCGGCAGCGGGGUCGGAACAGCAACAUUGCCAAUUUAGUAUCAACCUGAAGAAUAAUCUGCAGACUUGUUAGUUUUUUCUGAAAAAGGAAGUAAAAGUAUGAGAUUUUUGCAGUUUUGUCUAGCUCCGUCUGAAUACAAGUUGCAGCAGCAAGCAAACACGGAUAGAUGGGCGUUGACAAGCAGAGCAGAGCAUACCUUCCAUGGCGACCUGGGAAGAAGCAGAGCCUCCUUGUAUGCCUGCGCGCUUGAUGCAUCAGGGAGUGCAGCGGAGGACCUCCAUGUCCAUGGAGAAGACCGGAGUUGUUGGUGACCCUUCCAUGGCGUCGUCCUGCUCCUCCUGGUAAUGGUCAUGGAGACGGGGGUGGGUCAGAGAGGGAGAAGAGACCAGACCGGGGAUGGGUUGGGAUGGGAUGGGAUGGGUGAAGAGGAGGGAUUCGUACCCAUGGCUGCGCCUCCUGCCUGCGGAUCCUGAUGGCCGCGGGCUAGGGUCCAUGGCUUGGCUCCUCCGCCGCCGCCGCCUCUCCUGGAUCAUGGAGGAGGAUGGUGCCGUGGAUCUUGGCGCGCAGCUCGAGCCGGGGACAUGCCCACGACCCUAUCCACGGGGAUUGGGAGGGGUUGCGCGCGGUAGCCGUGAAUCUGGCCGGAGAGGAGGAAGGACCGGAGUGAGGGGGUGUCGGCGGUGUGCUGCGUGCCGCCGAAACUCGCCGGAAUCGCGGCGGCGGCGAGGGGAGAGAGAUGGGUGGGGGAUGGGAAUGGGAUUCGCCUCUUUUCAAUAUUAUCUUUCCUUUCCUUUUCUCUUGUCUUCAAAACUUACUUUUGAGCAAGGAGACACAAAUUUUGAGAGACGAGCGCGCGUAAAUGCAGCGGACUCUUAAUUGGUCAAUGGACUUUACCCAUGGAUCGACACUGUCUAUUUAACCAAUCUCGUUCGUCCAUCGACAUCUGACGGCCCGCAGAAUCGAUCGUGGGGAGCUGGCCGGAAGGAAGAAGCACAGAUAUGCUUGGGUUGGAUCUCCAUGGUCUUUGCCCCAUCUCGUCCGCCCGUCCGUCGACAUCGGGUGGCCCGCGGAAUCAAUCGUGAGCAGCUGGCGGGGAUGGAUCGGUGGGAGUCUCCCUCAUUGGUCGGUAGCGAUUACCCACGGAUCGAUCGCCUCUCUGGCCAAUCCCAGCCAUGCGCCACAUCCAAACAUACGUGGGGGUUUCGUUUCGGUUGUUGCUCCAUCAUCGUGAAUGGUCGACCCACUGAUGGAUGCCUGGCGUGGGGCGGUGGCGAUGUGUUCAAUCCAUCGAGAGAUGGUCAUAGCUAGUCGCGGCGACAUGGGUCACAACACGUGUCUCUCGCCUAAGUCUAUGCAUGUAUGGGUCACAGCAUGUGUCUCUGGCCUAAGUAUGUAUGUACAUGUUUUUAUUUAUUUAUUCUCGAUCUGAAAAAAAUAAGAAUGGAUAGAUGUGCUCGCUUCCAUGAAAAAAAAUUGAUGGUGCAGCAAGCAAGCAAGCAAGCAGUCCGCGCGCGUGGGCGAAUUAUUCUACAUGAUAUAACAAAGGGAUCAAGCCAAAGGGAUAAACUGCAAUUAAGCCAAAGGGAUCAAGCAAAUACUUGUAUCACACAGGGAAGGUGGUUGAGUAGUGCUGUCCUGGACCUCAUCCCUUCCCCUCCUCCUCCUCCUCCUCCCUCUCCCAGUCGUACCUCUUCUUUACUUCCUCUACCUGUCACAGUUGCAAGUAAAUUGGAAGGCUCUGUUUUCAUUGCAAAUCACAGUUGCUCUCUACUCCAGUUUCUAGCACUCUUCUUGUAUCGUACUACUUGUCAUAAUGUACUAUAUCAAUAAGAUGCUUCAUUUACAAUGUAUUGUACUGGAGGCUACUCCAUUUAUAAUUUACUAUGCUUCUAAUAAUGUAUAUCAUUACUAGCGUCGAGUAUUGUAUUUACACCAAUGGAAAUAAGAUUACUGCAUUGAUACUUACUGCUUCUUUUUCGCGUAUCUACUGGUUUUUGCUAUGAUGGUAAUUUUAUUUCCAUAGUUACUAAUAAUAAAUAUUUUUUUUUCAUUUCUUAAUAAAUCUAACCAACUCUCAGGUAUAUACGCAUGUCUCAACUACUCCCUCCGUUUCUAAAUAUAAGAUUUUUUAGAGAUUACAAUAAAGAAUACAUAUGGAGCAAAAUGUGUGAAUCUACGCUAUGAAAUACGUCUAUAUACACCCGUACGUAGUCCUUAUUGAAAUCUCUAAAAUGUCUUAUAUUUAGAGACGGAGGGCGUAACAAGACUAUCCUAUGACCGAGUUGACCCCUAGAAACCAGAUUCCCAUUUCAAAAGCCUCCCGUGCAUGAAAAUUUUACCACAAACAUUGAGUCCUAAACUUCUUUUUUGGGUAUAUAUUGUAGAAAGAAUAGAGAGGAAGGUUGACAAAAUGAGGUGGGUUCUAUUGUGGUAUCGCUUGAGCCCCGUGGACGUAUUUAUAGGAGUACAUGAUCAACUUGGAGUAUAAGACAAGUUAGAACAAAUCCUAAUAUAUCCUAUAUUUUCUAAUAAUCACAAUACUCAACAUCCCUCCACAGUCACAAAGGUAGCGACGCAGACGGUGAGACAGGAGAAGAAUCCUAAGGUAAGCCGAUGGACACCAUCCCCCCUCCCUAGUCAUAACGAUCGAUGCAUAGCAGAAGAUGUGGCUGGAGUGAAACCGAUGAGAUUGCUCCAUCAAGUCGUCCCUUUGUGCCGAUGUCAAUCUAACCGAGAGCGUAGGAUGGUGUAUCCAUGUUUGAGGUAGCCAUGCGAGGGAUGACAUGGUCGAUGUCAACUCGGGGUGGUCGAUGUUGAGUUAGUCGCCAUGGCGCCGCAGGCGCAAGGAAGCGCCGUGGUAGUCUUCGGAGCAGUGUUGUCGAGGUAGUGGUGCGCCGGGAAGAAGACGGUGUUGAUGAGUUGUCACGCUAGGUUUGUCAAGGCCAGGGACACGUCAUAGACAAAGGCACGCGUCGGUGUUGCCAGCCUCGGGCAUGCUAGACGGACGAACUCGAUGUUGACGAGGUGCCACACCAAGCUUACCAGGCCCGAGGACACAUCAUGGACGAAGGCACACGUCGGUGUUGCCAGCACUUGGCAUGCCUAGAUGAGGAUCCGCAUGAGUUAUAUGCCAUUGUAACACCCCUAUGUAAGGAGCUAAAGUGAUCAUCAUAAGCUACUUUGAUUAACUAGUCUUGAUCAACGUUGAUUCAUAUCUUAUUUAAAUUCCACUUUAAAUCAAAUUCAAAUUGUAAGAGGAAUUAAGAAUUUCAGAAAUAAGAAAACUAAAAAGUUCACGCAAUGGCAAAUAAUCAUUGAAUAAUUGUCAUGGUGAAACCAAUAUUUUAUAUAAAGUAAUUAAAUACCCUAAAACAAUUAAAACACGGUACAAAACAAUAUUUUAAUUGCUUUUGAAAUUAUAAGAAUUCUAAAGUAAUGUAAAAGCCUCCCAAACUUUUCCUGGCAUUGUCCAAAAUUGCACUUUAAAUAAUGGGCCAAGUUCCUACUUUUACUAAACAUAUUUGCUAUUUAAAAUAAUUAAAAAACAGAAUUAAAUAAAUGAAAACAGAAAAAUAAAAAUAAAAAGAAAUAGUUUAAGAAAAAGAAAAGUGGCACUGUGUCGGCCCAGCCCACCGAUCGUGUUGGCUUCAACAUAGCUACAGUGGCCGACCGAGGGCACGAGCGCCGCUCGUCCCCGUCGGACCACCUCAUCAGCUUCGCCGUGGGAGGAUAAGUCUGCCACCCACACGGCCCCUCGGACUCCUCCCCUCUCACUCACUUACCCCCUAGACUAGAUCCCCCCUCUUCCUUUAGCUCCCUGCGUCGAACUGGAGAAGCGCCCGAUGCGACCGUCGCCGACGCCCCGUCGAUCCCGCGGCCAUCUUCACCCCUGCGCCUCCCCGUCAUGUCAUAGAGUGCCGCUGCAUGCUACCUCGAGCUGGAACUGGGGACCCCUGCAAUGCCGCCCCGACCUCUUCUUCCUCCUUGGGCACCACCGCAGUCGCCAUCGAUUCGGCGCCAUGAGCCUCCCCCGAGCCGACGUUUGCACCUCUACAGGCUCCCUGUGAGUUUCCGCUCGGAUCCCCUUCGUCUCCCCCAUCCUUCCGCGCCAUAGCUCGCCUCGCCGCCAUGGCCGCACCCAAUGUCACGGUAGAGCUCGCUGCCGUGGCCACUGCUCGCGUCCGAGCACCGCAUCGUGCUCAGCUUCUCCCUAGCAACCCAACGCCACCAUCCACUGCCUUUGUCGUGCCCCAUAGCGACGAAGAUCAGCAAACGCCACCACCGCCGCCGAUGAUGUUCCGCUCAACUCCGACCAUCUCAGCCACUCCCACCGACACCAAACAAUGCGACAUCGCUUGCUCUUUUGAACGAGCCAACCAACGGGGCCGGAGACUCCCUGUGCGCAUAUUCCGGCCAACUACGGCACGUCACCACCUUGAAAUCGAGUCGCUGGAACCCCUCUAGCACCGCCAUAGAUAUGGCUGGCUUGGGGCCCACCCAUGUGUCACUGCCAGUGGGCCCCAGGGGCCUAGCUGACCCGUUGACCCCGGUCAACUGUGCUGACUGGGCAGCACAGUCACUGACUGGUGGGCCACCCACCUAAUUAACUAAAAUGUUAAUUAAUUUAAUUGGUUAAAUUUAAUUAGACACUGACAAAAUGGGCCCUAAUAACUAAUUUGCUUAAUUACUUAAAUUGAAACCUAUUAAUUUUUAUUGAGUCACUAACAAUGGGGUUCCACUUGUCAGUUUGACUAGUCAACUGCCAAUGUUGACUACUCACUGGGCUUUGACUUGCCCCACAUGUCAGCCUAUGAAGCACAUCAUAACAUUUAGUAUUUAAUGUAUUUUCGAAUUAACUUAAUUACAAUUUUUUUGGAAAAUCAUUUAAACUCCGAAAAAUCAUAUAAAGUAAUAUAUAACUGAGAUGAAAAUAAGUUAUAUAUGAAAAUUUCUAAGAAAAAUAUAAAAAAUCCAAAAAUGAUAUCCACUCAUCUGUCCGAUAACUGCCAAACGCUGGGAAAACAUUUCUAGAUGUUUUCCCGCUUCGUCUGUAACGUGUAGCACUAUGUUAGAUCACCGCUAGGUCAGCAUAUUUCCAUGUCAUGCAUCAUGAUGCAUUUAUUUGCUUUAUAUUUGUUGUUUCUCCCCCUCUCCUCUCCGGUAGACCCCGAGACUGACGAUGGUCCUAGGUAUGACUACACACCUGACGAUCAGCCCUUUUUCAUAGAGCUUCCAGGCAAGAAAAAGCCCCUUGAUCAUUCCUAUAUCGCCCAUACUUUCUCUCUCAUGCUUGCAUUCGAUUUUGCUAAUGUUGUUGAUAACUCCUAUUGUGAUGCAUAGCCUGCUUUUGUAACCUGCUGUUGUUACUUUACCUGAUAUCCUAUAUGCUUAGUAUAGGUUAGUUAGUGAUCCAUCAGUGACCCUUCGCCUUGUCCCUGUUGCCCCCGCUUUAUUACCGAAUGAAUCGAUCAAUGUGAUCGACGUACUGAGACCAACACAUCACCGCACCCCCCCCUUAGUUGUACAACUCUGUAGAGAUACUACCGAGUGCCGAGGGUGAUACCUCGAAAUGCACUCCUGAUAAUAUCUCUGUAGUGUAGCUAAUCGGUUGUGGAUUAUGGAGGGUGAUUCCUCCUUCACCACUCCCAAUAUUGACUCUGUCGUGCAGUUCUUCAAGUGUGAACCUACCGUGGGUGAUUCCUCCAAGUUCACCUUGAUGGUUACAUCGAGUGGGAAUCGAUCAAGGGUGAUUCCUACAAUUCCUCCUUGGUGUUAUCGACACACACUUACCUUUACCUGUUCCCGUCAACUGUUUCUGUGGGACUGAAGGGACAGAUGGUACCACCCCAGUAGAGGUGGACCUGAGUUCCUGAUAGUCUCUUGUGACUGAGGAUGACCUGGAGGGUACCUGUGAGAUAAUUACGAGGCACGGCCGGGCAUUCUUGGCCCUUGCCGUAAGUUCGAGAGACAGAGCAAUAGGACCACGGAUCAUGGAUCAUUGAUCCUCUCCACGCUCUCCCAAGACACUAAUUGAUUUGGAUAUGUGCACUGUUCUAUAAUUCAUCCGAUUAAUCAGUAAAUUGGCUAGUUAAUCGCUACUCAUCAGGUGGCCGAAUCGAAUAACACCUAUUCAUCAUGUUAACUUGCCAGUCCGAUUAAAUGGUCUAUUAGACCGGUUAAAUGGUCUGUUAGACCGAUUAGUCGGUUGUUAGGCCGAUUAAUCGAUGUCGGCCCGCUAACUCAUGGGCAUACAAAGCCCAAUUAUUUGGCCCGUAACCCCUCUCAGCCCAUACAAAGCCCGAUUAUUUUAUUAAAGUCAAUUGUGCUAAUAAUAUGCAAAGCCCCAAGCUUGGGGAUGCUAAUUUUUAUACGUCCACUACUUAUUGCAAUUAUCAUGAUUCGGGUGAUUAUUCUUAUGAUAUUGAAAGUUUAUUUAAGCCUCAUGAUGAAUAUCGUUGUGAUAAUAUUGAAAAUGGGUUUGGAAGAUUGUCAACUCUAGGUAAUAAUGAUCCCACUAAUUUGUAGAAUGAUCCCAAGCUUGGAGACGCGACAAUAGUAGUGUAUCGUGAUGCAGAAGGAAACUACCUCAGCAGCUCUUCCCUGGCGUAACCAAUGUAGCAUUUUAGGAUUAUUUGUUUUCAUAAGAGCAAGUACAAUAGCAGGCUUAUAGCCUGCUUACAUGGCAAUUUUGUCGACAUGGAGGAGAGAGACAUGAAAAAGUAAGCGGAGUGAGCUCUCAUGCAAGAGCCUAACUAUAUGCGUGCUUCAAGGCAGAUGCAAUAAAUACGAAGAAAGAGAUAGAGAGAUGAGGAAAAAUAGUAAUCUUAUAGCCAACCUUAUAGCUAACCUUAUUGUAUGAGUGACUAUAUGAAUUGGCUAUAAAUGAUAUGACAACAUCUUAUAGCUAGCAAUUUGUUGUAUUAUUAAUCAUGCUCUAAUGUUCCUAAUGCAUCAAUACGAAGAGAGUACUAGUAAAGCAGUGACAAGUAAUGUGGAUAGAAGAGAGUAACGCAAUUUCACAAAUAUGACAACAAUCUCAUUAAUGAUAGCAUGUGGCUAUCUAGCCAGGGCCGAGUAAUAAAUGAGGGCCAUCAGGAAGUUCGCUGGCACGUUACGAGCUCAGAUUUAUUUGUUGAGCACCUUGCGAACGAUCAAUCACCAUACUCCCUUUAAAUUGUCAGUUUACAUAUCAAUUUUCAUGCAUUUUCACCACCAAAGGGAUUUUAGACACGUUUGGUUUAAUGCCCAAUUAAUUAGGGCGUGACAACCGCAAUCAAUCCCACAAAUUUCUCUCCAUGCAGGUGUGUAUGCGAGGUAGAAUAAAUGCAUGCAUGUGUGUACGUGUUAAUUUCCCAAAUUGUUAGGCGCCGUGGUAUAACCAUAGAUGAUAUUUUUCAGUUUAAUCGCUAAUCAUUUGGUUUCAGAGAUUGUUGAAGCGCGCCGGACUGUGACAAGAGAGUAUUUCACGCCUGUCCAUGCACAGGAUUUUUUAUACUAUCUAUGUCUUGGUUACAGGUCACCGUAUUUUGGAUCAUUUCUUAAUCAUGAUUUGAACUAAUAAAAUCUAAGCUAUACAUUAAAAAAUAAUAUCAUUGGAAACUACAUUCAAAUAUGAAUCCAACAAUAUUAUUUGAUUUGUUGUGACAUGCAUUGACAAUUUGCUAGUCAAAUAUGUGAUUAAAUUUUGACUUAAAAUAUGGGAGGGACUAAUAAACCCUACUCCAAAGUCGAAAGUAUUUUUUUGCGCCUACUCAAAAGUUGGCGAUACUUAUUUUCACAACCGUCUAUAGGUGAGCAAUAAAGGUGCAAUAAAGACCGUCCCAUCCCCUGUAUCAGCCAAAGAUUGAAUUAUAUUAUAAUGGCAUCUAUGCAGCUCAACUACCGCGUGCCAAGCCCAUGCGUGAGUAAAUACGGCAGGCGCAGCUCAAUCCAUCAAGCCAUGGCAGACUUGCUCCUCCUAACCCUGCUUCCCUUGGCUCUCCUCUUCCUCCUCCUCCACCAUGCAUCGCCAAUCAAAGCCCUUCUCACGAGGGCCAAGUCGGUUCUGGCACCGGAGCUCUCCACGGUGUGGAAGCCACAGCCAGCUAGCAUCUUCGUCACGGACCCCGAGACGGCGCACAGCCUUCUCGUGCGUGGCAGCGCCGCUGGCUCCUUCUCCAACCGCCCACCGUCCAUUUCUCCCAGCGCCAUCCUCUCGCGCCGUCAAUACCAGAACAUCACCUCCGCUCCCUACGGUGAGCACUGGCGCGCCAUUCGUCACAACCUCACAUCGGAGGUCCUCCACCCAACGCAGCUCCACCGGCACGCGUCAGCGCGCCGCCGUGCACUACAUGGACUCGUCGUGGACCUCGCCGAGCAGAGGAAAGACGGCGUGGUUCACGCGGCGGAGAGCAUCCGCUACGCUAUGUUUGUCCUGGUGGCCAACAUGUGUUUCGGCGACGACAUCGACAAUAACCGCGUCCGUGCCAUGGCCGACGCUCAGAGUGACCUCGUCAAGUCCCUAUCUACGGCGCGCGUGUUCGCGCACGCCAUGCUCCCCGCACUGACCAGGCUCAUUUAUCGUAAUCGGUGGAAGAAGCUAGCCGCCCUGCGACAGCAGCAGGAGCAGACGUACCUACCACUCAUCGACUCCCGUCGCGGCCGGCACCGGCGACCCAGCGAGACGCCGGUGUAUGUGGACACGCUCAUCGAUCUCAAGGUGCCGGACGACCACAGUCAGGACCCAAGGCGGCAUCGAAGAAGGCUGUCCGAUGGUGAACUCGUCGGCAUGUGCUCCUAGUUCCUUGGUGCUGGAACUGAAACGACAGCAUCAGCGCUGCAGUGGAUCAUGGCCAACUUGGUGAAGCGUCCCGACAUACAGGAGGCCGUCCGGAAGGAGAUCAAUGCCGUCGUGGGUGCGGACGCCGAUGAAGUCAGCGAGGUUGUUCUUGGGAAGCUGGAGUACCUGCACGCUGUCAUCAUGGAGGCACUCCGGCUGCAUCCGCCGACGUCUUUUGCGUUCAGGCAGGUGAUGGAAGAGGAUCAUGUGGUUCACAAUGGCCAGCGUAUUCCAGUGGGCACAAAAGUGUACUUCCCACUGGCUGCUAUAGCACGAGACAGGAUAGCGUGGGAUAACCCUGACGAGUUCAAGCCACAACGGUUCCUGUCCUGCAAGGAUGCAUCCCAAGGAACCGACGGCACGAUCAAAAUGAUGCCUUUCGGCGGUGGUCGGAGGAUGUGCCCUGGUAGGGGUGUCGCAAUGCUGCACUUAAGCUACUUCACCGCCAACCUUGUGAGGGACUUCCGGUGGAGGGAGGGAGAAGGUGAGCUUGCUGUCGAUCUCCAGCCGCAUGUUGAGAUCUUCACUGUCAUGAAGCGGCCAUUGCGUGCUCACCUAGAGCUUGAAAGGACAGAGAUCAAAACUAGUUAAUUAGCUGGGCUGAUCAAGGUUUCUUGGUUGUACUGUGUUUGCUAAAUGCUAAUAACGAACCAUAUGAAUGUUUUUUGAGCGUCAGUUGAUUCCUCCCCCGUACGCACGCUAAGUGUCGAGCGAAGACGAAGCGUGGCCUGCGAGGACUUGCCAAGAAUGAAUCGGAGCAGGCAACAAAGCCGCUACAUCAUAGGCGGAGGUGAGAUAGAGGCUUUACUAGUUUGGGUGAUGGGCGGUUCCCGGCAUAAAGAACAAAUGGAAUACAUGAUUAUGUUAUCGGUUAAUGCCGUAAUAGUUGUGGUUAAGUCAGCAAUUCCUCAACCCAUGCACUUGAGCAGGCUAGGUAUUUCUUUUAUGAACAUUAUUAUGAAGAUCAUUAAAAUUGUUAACCAUUAAAAACACUUUGUCAAUAGGGAAAAAUAAUAUAUGCAUGAUGAAUGUUAUGCAUAUUUAUAAUUCCGUUUAACAUUUGUAAAUCCACCAAUUAAAUCAUGCUCCUACCUUUAAAAAUAAUCCAGGACCUAUAAUGUACAUGUUAUUUACAUAAAUAGUAAGAUAUUUUAAAUUAAUCAAUCUGGAUACAAAAGCAUAUAUUAAUGUUUGUAGCUUAGCUACCCCAUAGUGUGCGAUGCUCCCUAUUUAUAUCCAUGCAAAACCUUAUACAGUAGGAUACAUGAUCUGUGGCAGAUGAAACUAGCUCCAAUACACUUGUUCAAGUUUUGUUGUGUACAACACCCAUGGCAGAUGAAACUUGUCAAUCUCUACUUGUCGAGUUGACAGUCAUGUCAAUGCGAAAGAAGGCAUAGCUGUCAGCUUGUCACCCUAAAAUCUGAGCAUGUUGACAAUGGAGGUAGGUGAAUUCGUGAUAGAAGAGGAAGAAGAAAAUAAUAAUUGUGUUAUAUCAAAGUAUACAAAUGAGCUUUGUUUCUCAAAAUAAACAUCCUGAAUUCUACAAGGAUAAAAAUAGCAACAAAUAAACCAAAGUCAUCGUCUUAGUAAAUUCUAUUUUCUUUACUAGGUUAAUGUCACGCUUGUGGCAGGGAAGGGAUAGGACACAUCACAUGCAUAUCCAUUAUCCAUGAUGCAAGUGUAUGAACAUGCGUGAAGGAUGUGGGACACCGAAGAAUUAAGUAAGGCUCUAAAGUGUGGGCUAUAAAUUGGCCUAUACAUCAUUCUCAACAUGGUGCAGAAUGGCCAGACUGUCUUAGCUAUACCUUUGCUGGUUUGUCAGGUCAUUAUAACGGGUAGAUGCAGGUUAGUUAAUACAGAUGGAUGCAACGCUACUCCUAUAGAUAUUAUUAUAUGUGAGAUCGAUCGGAUGUGUACUUGUUUGAAUGGUUAUUCUUGCUUGUCAAGCCACUCUUUAUUUGUCUUUUCACAUUCAUAAUAGCUAAACAUCAGUCGCCUGAAAAUCCAAUUUGGUUUGUUCGAUUUUCGCUAGAAGGAAGCAGGUGCCAGAGGGAAGGAAGAAGCAGCUGCUGACUCGCCGGAGUGAAGGAAGGAGCUCCCUAGGAGGCUACCCCAUCAUCUAUCGUUGAUGAAGGGGGGAGGUAGGGGUGGCAGCACGGCGGUGGUGCAAGUUCGCCGGAGAAAAAACUGGUCAUUGCCGGGGCUGGAGGGAUGGCCAGGGGCAGCAGCAUGUCGGUGGGAGGAGGAUGAGGGGUGGGCGGGGCGGUGAGGCUGAGCAGGAGCGCCGCUGGCCGCGGGUGGUGGUGGUCGACGGUUCGGCCGGUGGUCCAUCUGGCGGUUGGAUGGAGAAGAAGAAAGUUGUCUGGAGGAUAAAGAAGUAAUCUGCACCGCCUGUUUUCCAUCCCAUGGCUGAAACGAAAUCAAAAGAACAUAACUGAAAAUUUAGUCGACUUACCACUAGCCAUUCCCUUCUACAUUCUAUGCAGGGCCGGCCCUGAGGGGGGGCAGAGGGGGCGGCCGCCCCGGGCCCCCAGGAUGCAGGGGCCCCCACCCAGGGUACGUAUACAUUAGCCAGCUAGGCUAAGCCCACUACGCACUAGGACAUGGGCUGAACAUGGAGACGCAGGCUGUGUCUAGCCUAAGGCACACAGCGGCUCGUUCCUCGACUCCUCAUCCGAUGUGUAGCUCGUAGCUGUAGCUUUGUCCGCAUGCCUGUUUGGAUGCCUAAUUAUUCCCUUCCGAGUUGGUCAGAUCUAAUUGCGAGUUCGCUUCUUCAAGAGGAUCGCGAUCCUAAUCGCGAGUCGCCGUUUUAUCGGCGACCUUCGCUCCCCAAUCUCCACUGGAGAUGUCAUCCGUCGUCGCCAAGCGUAGACGUACAUCCAAUCCAGACCGCAUCCUCCAACAGAUCCCAGGUUUUAAUUACUAGUAUUCCCUAUCAGCUAAUUAAGUAAUUUAUCUUUGCAUACAUGAUGCCUAUAUUGCGCACAGCAAAGUGUCCUGUGUAUUGCUAUGGAUCCAAACUUGACUGAUACUUGUUCAAAAACUUUUUAAAAAACCUGGUUUUGUUAGAUAUAUUAGUAAAAAUAUGUUAGGUUUCACCCAGUGUAUAUAUCAUUUCUGUUACCAUAAAAAAAUGUUGUGCUAAUCGCUAAGCUAAUGAACUGCUGCAAUGCAGGGAGAUGAUUUUGAAAGCGAGCUUGGUUCAGGGUCUUCCAUUCAUGUUCUAUCAGGGCAACAGUUUUGGUAAUGGCCACUUCACUUGUCACGUUGUACUCAUUGAUGUAACACUCUACAGUGCUUGCCAUAUCCCCCUUGCAUUUUCGACGCUGUAUGAUGACAUCAAUAAUCAUCUUUAUGUAAGUAUGUAUCAAUUUAAUAAUCUUGCAUGCACUCACAAUGAUAGUACAAACUUGGUAACUGAGCCCUGCCCCCUUUUCCAUAGGUGCCAACACAUUUCGAUGUGUACAAAUUUAUAAAAAAAAUAGACCAAUGAAGUUAAGGUAGCAUCAUAAAAAUGACAUUGCUAAAAAAUAAUUCUAAGUAUAAUCCAUACUAUGAUAUUUUUUGUCACUAAAUCACAUUUUAGCACUCAAAUUGUUGGUCAAAAUUAUAUCUCAGUAUGCUUGAAAUUGAACUUCUUACAUGUGUGAAAGGAGCAAGUAACAUGCAUGCAAAAAAAUAAUUUUGAAAUAUUAUAUAUAUAUACCUCAAAUGCACCGAUAUCAUUCAUGAAACGGGAAAUCUUCCCAACUGAUAUGACGACAUCCGGGACACUAGCAGCCCAUUUGAGCGCUGUCUUCAUCAUUGCAUCACUCAUUCCAGCCAUCAUACUCACACAUAUCGUUGGCACACCAAUGUUUAGACUAGUCAACUUGACCUGAUCUACAAAGCUUGGCUUGUGGUUCCUGUGUGACCAUUUCGCUUCUUGUAGGUAACCAGUCACGUUAUUUUGGACCUGCACACAAACAAAGAGAUGUAAUCCCAAAAUUAACGAGAAGAGAGAGAGAGAGAGAGAGAGAGAGAGAGAGAGAGAGAGAGAGAGAUGUUGUGACAGAAAAGGGUACAUGAACUUACCGCUUUUUUCAGGUGUGCUAUAUCGUAGUUCGUAUUGGCUAGCAUUUCAGCCUCAAUAUUCUCAAAUGUCCUCAGCAUCUCCAUAUAGAACUUCUUCAAGUACUCCGGCAGGAGAAAAAUGGCGCUCUUAUCCCAUCUUGAAGGCCAAUUCACAAAAGCAAUCUUAAUACAAGUUAUCGUAGUUUGAAAAUUCUUUGUUUGCAUGUUAACCUAACCUUUUAUUUUUCUAUACUCUUUAUCUUUCUUCAACACAGUAAGAACCACUAGUUUCACUUUGCUCCAUGAGGCAAAUAGUGUAACAUGACAUCAAAAUUUCAUUAUAGGCAAUAUAUCUCAUUUGUUACUGCAUUUAGAUUUUCUUUCAUCCAUAUCUUAUUAUGGCAACUUAUAUGUUUGUGUUAAUAAAAUAAUAAUCUAAUCAUGCAUCACAUUUUCAUUUGAAAUUGCAAUUGUUACCAGAUAGUAGUGAGCAUUAGCUCAUUACUUGUAUGUACCAAUGAGUGCUAUUGUGUUAGGACUUAUGAAAAUUUCAUGUCAACAUGGAAUUUUAGCUGUGGAUCUGCCCGCGCGCGUGGAUGGGGUGGGGGGCACCGGGCAAAUUGAUAAUUCACCAUCGGAUUCAGCUCGUCCACCUCUGGAUGCCGUGAUUAUCCAAAGAAUAGUAAUAUGCUCCUGGUUUGAAGCAUUAUUUGUAUACCAUUUUUUUCUUGAUAGAAUUGCACUCUUAUGGUCACGGCAAUGCAGGGUGUUCAUUUACUUCUUCUUAAAUACUAAAAUAGUUAUUAUCCAGUACAUACAUGUUCGUAAUUACUUUAUUACUUCGAACAUCAUGGAAAAAUCACGUUGCGCACAUAUUUAUGACUGUGAUUGCGAUUGAUUCUAAGGACGUAUUGAUAUGAUAUGGAAUCGCUAUCUUAGUGGAAUAUACAUUAGAUGCAUUGACAAUUUGAGAGAUAAAAUGUAGAGCUAAAUCAAUCCCACCUUUGUAUUGCUUCAUGUAGCUUCCAACUGUCCUCUAGGGUGGCAUGGUUAUCAUAUAUGUCAUCUAAUGUGGUAAUUAGUACAAUCAUCUUUGUGAUCAUACUUCGAGUGAGCUCAAAUUUUGUGUCAUAGUACAACACAGAGGCCCAUGUAUAACCCUCCACCACACGAUCGCGGAUAAAGCUUAGCUCGAUAUAUCCGAAAAAAUGCUUCCACCACCUGUGAAUUAAUUAAGCAAUGUUAUAUGAACUAGUACAUAUAUAGUCCACAUAGAAUAUAACAUCGCUAGCCCCAUUAAGAGAUAAAAGAACAUUGGUCAAUUAUUACUAAAAGCAUGUGCAUUACUCUAUCACUACACCAUUUAUGUAAUUAUCCUACAAUGCACAGAAAACAACGAAACACUAAAGCAUCAUGAACCAUUAAUGAAUAUGCAUUCUCAUAUUGAUGAAAAAAGGCAACCACGUAAGCUCUUAAUUUAGAUGACGUUAAGCACUAGAAAUGUAGUGGUAACUAGACUUUUGGUUUUUUGUUUGUUUGAAGAUGUAGUAUGCGAGGGCAACCACCCGUGAAUCAUUAUUGGGUUAUAUAUUCUGUUUAUAUAAGAAAGAUAAAUAACAUACCUGGUAAUAGCUUUGAGCUCCUUCAAGUGGACAUUUUGCUGAAGGUUGAAAUCCAAUUUGGCAAGCUCCAGUAGGAUUGGGUUAUGCUCCUCUUGUUCGUACUCUAGGAUAUAAUGUAGCAUUUCCACCCUCUUAUUUGUCCUUGGCAUUGGUAUCUGAAGGGCAUGUUGGACUUGUUGAGCAAGUGGGGUCUUUAAACUACCACUACAUGACUCAAGAUGAUGCCUUGCAAAAGCUAUGGCUUCUUCAAGUGCUGGCUCACCAUGAAUUAGAAGAUGAGAUGCAUUGUAUAGACAUAAUAGUGUCCUGGGUUCAUUUGUUAUAUCAUUAAUGAAGCUUCCAUCUUCACUUUUGAAUCGAUUGAAAACAUCUGUAAUCAAUAAAUAAAUGUUGGUGUUCUCGUGACCACAUUGUCAAUGGAGCUUCUAUUGUUGUAGACAUGUCGUCCACAUUAUGAAAUAUUUUGCAAAUAAGGUCACCAAUCUAAUCUUGAUAACUCAAUUUCUUAGCCAGUUAAAAAUUUGCAUAUCAUGAUUUUUCUUCCAUAAUUUUUCGUAACCAACUAUGCAUAACAAGAAAAAAUUGUUAGGAUUAUAUAUACCUGGAGAUACACAGUAUCCAUGUUCCCUCAGCAAGCGAAACCGAAGGGCAACUUCAUAGAGGUUGUAGUUACUAAAUUCACUCUUCAGGAUUUGCCACAUAGCGGUGUCAAUCUGGUCUUCAAAGAGGUGAUCGAUUCCGAGAUGUUGUAGUUUAUCCACUAAGGACAUUUUUACCACUGUGUCAUUGCUGGAUUUAAACAACAUACAUAUGUCUUCCUUCAGUUUUUUUGCCCUAAGCGUCAUCCACUGCUUGGAUUUCUGCAAUGCAAGCAUUGAACAUUUUUAAUUAACCAAAAGGGACAAGGGUUAGCUAGGUAAAAAAAUGUCGCCAAAACCAAAAAUAGUUGAAAAAAUCUAACAACUCGUAUCUCCAGUGAAAGAAAAUGGACCAAAAGUACAUGACUGUAUAGAAUAACCAUAUAUCCUUUCACUGAGUCCAACUUUCCAACAUAUGCCAACCAAAGGCUACCCACAUGUAUCUUCCAAGGGUGUCGGUCGUGGCCAGCAUAUUUAAUUUCAAAAGCAUGCAUGUGGUUUCAAGUUGUUUCCACUCAAGCAUGGAGUUACACUAGACGAUUUACUUAUGACUAUGAGUGGUGUUGAUGAUAUACAAAAUAGACAUCCAAAAUAUGACAAAUUUCUACCGCCGGAUAUGUGAAAUAUAAAGUCUGUACACAUAUUCAGAUACUAUAAGAAGUGUCGACUAGUGAAGUACACGCAAUAAGCAACCGGUUGCCAUGGAUCUCUAGAGGAGCACGGAUGGUAAUUAGAAAUGUGUUCCUACUUGGGCCCGCAAGUGGUGGGUGCAUGGUGUACAUUUUGGCACCUCUUGGGCUGGCCCAGCGUAGGCCGGAGUAGUAGAUACUAGUACAAAAACGCAUACAAUAGUUACAAAUAAAUACCUCUGUGCAUGGUGACAUUUUGUGCCAUAAAUAGUUAGCUUUUAUUAUAUACCUGUAACGGCGGUGGCUCAUAUCCAGCAAAGAAGUCAAUCCAUGGUGAGGGCUCGUAGCUGAACGCAGGAGUAGCAGCAUUGUCGGACGCCAUAGAAAUUAACAGUUGCUUCUUUGUUUCAUAGGUUUAGUAGCUUGGGAUAUAGAUAGCUUUGUUUGGGGAGGAAGGAGAAUGUGUGCGUGAGGCCUUUAAAUAAUGUCCACGCAAUGGCAGGUCCAUGCAUAUUUCUCAUCGUUAGCAGCCGGCCGGCCGAACUAUAAAGGCGACUGCAUGCACUACUAAUCUACCUACCUUCCGGUUGAUUAUCCGGUAGUGCCUUUAGACCCACCCGAUUGAUGGACAUAAAAUCAUCUAUUUCCAACGUGAAGAAAUCUAUUUUAGCUUGCUAUAUUUGUGGCUUGCACUGUUCCUUAGUCAUUUUCUCUGUUUUUUACAUGUCACAUAGUAUUGUCAUGUUUAUGUUCAGAAUUUACAUCCACAUACUUGUAACCAUCCUCUAUAUACAUGAAUAUUUUGUAUUCAUUUAUUUUGAAAAUUGAAUAUUUAUCUUAUUUUUUGGCAGUUUGGAUAUACCUCAGAUCAGAAUAUUCUAGCCCUUUCUGGGUGCGGUUGUUUGUUGUACAUAUACUUAAUAGAAAAAAACUGGUUGCCAAAUUUACAUUCAACUUGUGUUGUAAUCCAAAAUAUCACACUAAUUUAAACUUGAUAGAGCAUGUAAAAAUAACAAUUCAAAACUAUGUUAAUUUGUGUAGAAUGUACAAAGAAAAAUAAUGGACCUGCCAAAGUUAAAUCAAAGUUUACUUUCAGGAAUGUAUUUCUUGUCGCAUGUAUUAUAUUUAUCUUCAUAGGAUGGAUCGUUGGUCAAAGACCAUGGCAGCCCCUAGAUUGCAUCUCAUAGCAGACGCACCAGGAGCAUUACAGAGUUAGCUCAAUGCAUGCAAUUGGCGUGACAAUGUAUAGUCAGCAAAACACUGAUGCCAAUUGUUGUGAUCACUCAUCAUGCAUGCAGGUCUCUUAUGCAUAGAGCCAAUAAUCCAUUGUACAUCAUUUUUCGAUUAUACUACAUCAAGUUUAAGAUGAAUGCAUGAUGCGUAUUAGCAGUCGGGCGAAUUAUACUAGAUAGUCCCUCUUCUGAUUUAUAAGGCCCAAGUGUAUCCCUAAAUUAAUCAUUUAAUCAAAGUAACACCAAAUGUAUAUCACAAAUGGUAUAUCUUUAGAAGUUUUCUAUGGAAUAUUUUUAUUGUGAUAUGUAGUCACAUGUGCCUGCUCCACCAUCAGAGACCCAGCGAGUACAAAAAAACUCUAGAUAGCUAACACUAAUAAUUUAGGGCAUGCAUUCAUUACCAUCGUUAUGCCAUGUUAUUAAAGUAUCAUAGCUUGACGGCAACUCCCCCUACCUAACCAUAGCUGCCCGGUCCAAGAUCUUAACUAUUUUUACCUGUGAUCCAUCGCCUCUACUAAGUCGUGAGGUUGGGAGAUGCAAAUAUUAUAGCUUUUAUUUGAGGUCUUUUUUUUCUUGACUAUGUCAACAACACCAGCGCCUUGCGAAAUACUAGUUCUCCUUCUCCUUAAGUUAUCCUUCUAUGUUGAUCUAGUUUUCAGGAUCAUGUGGUCUAGUAAACAAUGCUAGGGAUUUUCGUUCAUGGUGUGUUGAAUAAACUUUGUGCCCUAUUCCAGAUGGGGAGGGAAUUCAAGAGUUUUUAUUUGCUGAAGAUAAAGAUAAAACAUUUUUUGCUAAAUAAAAAGACAAGCCCACACAUGAGAUACCUUCGGGAACAUUUAUCCUUGGUCAAAUACAACGGCCCGCAAAUUGCAGCGAUGUUUCGUAUAAUUGAAGUUUCAUGGAUCUUAUAGCAGUCUCUCAUGGAUCUUAUAGCAUCGUUGGCUCGGCAGCGGUGGCGGCCGAUUCCCUCGAGACUAAGGCAUAGUUGAGGAUUUACCGCCUGGGCCGGUUGAUCCGGCAGCCAUGAGGUGAGGCGGUAGGACCAGUGAUAUGUAUUUGUCAGUGUGACGGCUCUCGUUGCCAUUCAGUAGUUGCGGUGGUGCGGCAGUGCGAGCGACGGAGGGCGCGGUGGAUCUGACUUUUCAGCGGUACAGUGGUGGUGUCUUUGGCCGGAAGCGGCCGGAUUCGAACGGAUUUGGUAGCAGCAGCUGAGUGGGAGGGGAGGCUUUUCUGCAUGUUCACCUAAGGGAAUGUUCCGGAUGGUGGUUUGACUGCACGCGGCUGCGUUUUUGUUUCGCGGCUGCGCAUGGUGUUGUAUAGUUGCAACACAAGAGGGUGUAUUUUAGGGCUGCCUCUAGUUAGGACCACAAAAAUAUAGAGAUUGGGAAGCUGUUGGAGUACCGUUUUUAUGUCAAAAUGUCGUAAAGAGCAUUUUCUUUGCGCCUCUACUAUAUUUUAAAUCACGUAUUGGAGAUGCUUUAUGUGUGUUCAUUUUCUCCAUAGGUGUCGCCGCCUCCUUCAAAUACUUGGCCCUAAGUGUAUGCAUAUGAGGGCAAAUAUUGGUGGUGCACGAGUCAGGUGAAGGUGCGACCUGGUGCAGCUUAAGCCAUUUGCGAGCGGGUGCAUGGGACGGGUCCUUGACACUUAGGCUGGUCUGGCUCAGCCAUUCGACCGGUUUGGGUGCAGAGAAAAGGAUGGAAAGAGGGAAACUUUGACAUGGCGUAACCAUGACGGGGCUUUUCUUCACCCUCGAUUUAGCAGAUUUUGUCUCCUACAAAACUAUUGGUGCAGGAAUUCAAAAGUUUUAGUUUUCUCUAAGAUGAAGCCGUUGUGUAGGUAAUAUGGUACUGGUUCCUAUUUUGCAUGUCUGCCGUGGUUGUGGUUGUGGAAAUUACUUCAUCUAUCGUUUAGUAGAGAAUUUUCUGGGUCUUGUAAUUCGUUUGGUAACCGUUCUUUUGUCUGGUUUAUCAGCCUAAUGCAAUGUGCCAGUUUCUCAGCAUAGGCCGAGUAGGUGGGUUUCUUUUCGUUUGGACGUGUGGUGCUUAUGAGAUCGCAAACUGACUACAAAGAAAAGGACAUGUACGCGGUGUAAUUUGUGCACUGCUUCUCUUGCCACAUGUUUUAUUGUUAUCUUUAUAUAUAUGAUUGAUACUUUGUCAAAGAUAACAUCGUCUAGAUUGCAUCCACUUUUCAUAGCAGCCGCACCAGCUGGAACAGUAUAAGGCACAUACCAUCGUGAGUGUGACAAUCAGGCCUAUCUUUAUGUAGCUGUGACCACUCAACGCAUGCAUGCGUCGACGUUUCUCACCGUCAAGUAGCAGCCGGAGGAAUCCGGUAUAUGAUCUUGUGCGUACUGGGAAUUCGGUGCGACGUCCACUAGAUCGACUUUAAGAUCUGCUCUUCACUGGGAAUGUUAGCAGCCGGUUGAAUCAUUUUUAGUAUACAUGCCAUGACGUCUUUAUGUUCUGCCCCACUAGUUCAAGAUCCAUGCAUGCAUUCAUACUCUAUUUUUAGCAGCCGAUAGGUGUCACCUUCAACUACAAUGUAUUAUUAGAGGGUAAUAUAUAUGGACGAAAACGUCACAGGACAGUCGGACAUCAACAAAUUACCAUUAGAUUAGAUAGACACGUCUCACCUCCCUGCGUGCCCGCACACUUUGUACCAUGCUAAUUAAUUGUAUGUGAGUAAUUUAAUGUGUUGCUACCUUGGAAAUGUAGUUGCAUUCAGACACAAGAGGAACAUAAAGUAUUUGUAAGGGCCUCCUUUAAGUUGAAAGGAUAAUCCUCCAUCUGCGCCAAACGAAGCUAGCAAUCACAUUGCGCCAUGAAUCUAAAUUUGGCCUCGCGAGGGUGAGCUAACUCCUAUUCAGAUGGCCACGGGUCUAAGCGGGGAAAAAGAAGAGAAAUAAAGGACAACUACCAUGCAGCCUACACUCGAACCCAUGGUGAGGAUGUGAGGCAAAAGAAUAGGAAAAGACUCUGUGUUGUGGCCCUAGAAAGCUCUAAGGAUCAGUUUUGUUUGCAUCCUCGUUGUUUCAAGACUGGCCUGGAGCACGCAUGUGAUCUUCCUGGGCGGUGUUUGUUUAGUUCCUGGAAAAGAUCGUAGUGGCCGGGCCUGGAUAACCAAACAUGACCAGCUAUUAGUCUACCAGGCUUCUGAAUUCCUGGUCCUGCGCACCGGCUAAUAGCUGCCUGGCCUCUAAUACUAGUAUAGGGACUUGUGCCAACCAGUAGGACUCUCUUUAGUUUUUGUGUGGACAUUUAUUCCUUAGUACGAGUACAUCAGUCCAGGUAGGAACCAAACACAUCUCUGCCUAGCUUGCCUGACCAGGCACGAAAGAGCAAAUUCCCAGGUAGAGUACAGGCAGCAAUAUUCUUCAGGCAUGGUGUCCAGGGUAGUAACCAAACUAGCCCUAAAUAAAAAUAUCUAUGACCAAACAUUAUGCAUGUACGUAGGAGGCAAAACUAGGCGUCAAACUGACUUCUAACGUCGGCUCAAUAUCAAAAACAUCAUAUAUAUUCUUGUAAACCUGGUAGAGUAUGUGACAAAAUUAAAAAUCAAUUAAAACAACAAAUUCCUGGUAGCUAGCAUUCAUAACUAAAAGGUACCUUUCUUUUGCUAUUUUCAGGUCUUGUAGUUCAGUUAGUAAUCGAUGUUUUGCCUGAUUUAUUAGUUUAAUGGAAUAUGUAGGUUUUACGUCAUAGUUCGAGUACGACAGUGCUUUCUUGUAACAAGUUUUAGUGUUAUCUUCGUAUGAUUGAUACUAGGCCAAAGACAAUGCUGCCUAGAUUGCAUAGAUGUUUCACAGCAGCCGCUCCAACCAAAACAUUGCAUGGCUAGAUUACAGAAAGGCACAGACCAAUCAUGGGCGUGACAAUGCAUAUAGUAAUCAGGUAUAUCUUGCACGUACUUCGUGGGUGUGACACACAUUAGAUGCAUGCAUGGCGCAUGUUAGCAGCCGGACGAAUGCUGGUGGGAUGCAUGCGAGUUCAAGACAAUCUGCUCAAUAAUUGCGCUAAUGCAUUCAUGUUUGUUGCUUUGUUAGCAGCCGGCGGAGUCACAUUCAACUAUAAUGUUUUAUUUAGAUAUACGGAUGAAAACAUCACAAGGCAGUCACCACUCAAUAGUAUAGUAUUAAGAUUGACACCGCAGUCACCAUUCAUAUAGUCAUUUGCGGUGGCAACUAAAAGAUAUAAUAAAUUUGUUGAGAAAUAUAGGUGCGCUUUGACACAAGAAGAGCAUAAAUAUUUGAAUGCGCCUUCUUUGGGUUAGGGCCAUAGAUAUCUUGUUCCAUGUCCACCAACCGAACCUAGCAAUCACAUUCUUCCAUAGAUCUAAACAAAGAAAGAUAGAAUUAAAAUAUGAUAAGUGGUAGCAUAGUGUCUGUUAGUGGUCUGCCCAUGAUGCAUUAAGCAGCACUAUCAGCUUGGUGGGCAAUUAAACAAGACAUGAGAGAGAGAGAGAGAGAGAGAGAGAGAAAACAAGUGUUGGGUCUAUGCAAUUACCGUAGUCCUUUCAGAAAAUGAGUGACUGAGAUAAUUGUUUUUCUGUGAAAUCUUAUGAGUAGGGCGCACAUUUCCUUUUGAUUCAUAACAAAAAAACAGUUUAUUUUAUGAGAAAAUGUUGGUCAAUAGACUAAACCAGAUGUGAACAGUGCAAAAGCUCAGAGAGUAGAAAAACAUCAAGCUACAUUUGGCCUACAGCAUGCCAAGUCAGUAACCUAGUGCUGCUUGCACGUUUGACGCACCCAUGAAUGCUUGGGCGAGGCCAUUACUGUUAGCAAAGUCAGUCCAAAGGAACCGGAUCUAAUUUGAUAAACCUAGCAGUACAUCUUCCAAAAGGACCCAAAAGAAACAAAUAAGAAGAAAUUAUAGGUCAGUCUUUGCAUUUUACACGGAGGAUAUCAGACCAUGAAAUUAGUUUGAAAUUUGGUCCAUACAACAUGCAUCAAUACAGUAACUAACCCAUCGUCACCAGGGGCAAUUUAAAAAGUGCAAACUUCGUGUUUUGGUACAAUCAAUAGUUUGUGUCAUCCACCAUAAUAUAUUGCAAGUUCAACGAGGUUCUUUUAUUCUUAUUGGUGCAAUGAUACAUAUUGGUAUACAUCAACAAAAGUACAGACAUAUCUACGUGGCAAUGCACGUCCAUCUAUGUCUAUGUGGCAUGGAAACCUCCAUGGGAAAUAGGUAUCAAUUGUAGGUCAUAUUUUCUUCCUACGAUGAUCCCAUAUUUCUCGGUCAUGUCCAAAAAUUCCGGGUUUGCCUUGCCAGGAAGCACCCAGUCGAAGUGGUAGAGAAGAUUUGCCAAGGCGAUCUCCAUAGUUGACGUGCCGAAUAGUAUCCCAGGGCACUGCCUCCGACCAACACCCAGUCGAAUGGGGUGAAUUCAAAGUAUGUCCCAUGGUAAUCCAUGUUAUUGUUCUCAAACGUUUCAGGCUUAAACUCUUCAGGACUUUCCCAACAAUUUGGAUCCCUCGAAACUGCAAACGCGUUAAUGUAUACAUUGGUGCCUUCAAGCAUGUCAAAACCCAUAACUUUACGGUCUUCCCUGGCCCUACGGGGGAUCAAAGGACCUGGUGGAUGCAGUCUAAGAACCUCCUAAAUGAUCAUCCACAUGUAAUGGAGUCCAGCGAGGUCACUAUUAGUAAUCACAGCUCGACCUUGACCUAGCACCUCUCGGAUCUCAAUCUGUGCUUUGGCCAUGGCUUCGGGAUGACGGACGAGCUCAGACAUUGCCCACUCCAAGGCAACUCCCGUGGUCUGUGUGGCACCUGCAAAUAUGUCCUGAAAAAUAUUAUUGUGGUAUGCAUGUUUAUAUAUUAUUUCUGCAUAUGUAGUAGUACGCAACAAAUAAUCAAUUUCAGACACAACAAUUUACGUUUAUAAAUCUAUGAAACAAGUUGAGACUAACAGAUUUAUGAAAUGACGAAGCUAGCUUUUUUUGCAUUAAAACUUUGCAGAUAUGAUAUCACAUCGGUAGAUUAAUAAGAAGCAUAAAGAAAAUUACUCACAAAUAAGACGGCACCUAUACUCUCCGUGGUCAUAGGGAAUGUGAACGCGUCCUUCUCCUGGAGCCUGAGUAGCACGUCCAGCAAGUCAUCAUCGUCGGUGCUGGAGGCACCGUCCUGUGUGGCAGCUCGCGUUGCCUUAUGCCCCUCGAUGACGUCGGCGUUGAUACGUUGGAUGUGGCCAUAGCUCCUCCUCAUGUGGCGCUCUCCCUUGCACAGCCACCGCACCAGCCGCGAUGACGGGAAGAGGUCGACGAGGCAGAAACCACCUAGCAGCACGAACGCCUCAUCCAGCUCCCAGAGGUACUCCUCCUGCUGCGGGAACUUGCCGCCAAACACCGCCCGCGACACCACGUCGUUGCUGAGCGCCAUCACCUUCUCGCUGACGUUGACGACGGCACCCAUGGAUGCCGCGUCUGCGACAUAAUGGAGAAGGCUGCCCACCUGGUCUGGCCUGAUACCGUCCAUACGCCUCACCUGCUUGGAGCUGAGGAGCUCCAUGGUGCAGACCUUGCGCAUCUGGCGCCAUGGGUCACCGUAGGGGGCGAAGACGAUGCCCCUCCCGCCGCAGCCGAAGAUGUCCAGCGUCGCGCUGCGAGGCCGGCCAACAAAGGCAAGGUCAUUGGUCUUCAUCACCAGCGCCGCCGCCUCGGCGCUGGAGACGAUCACCGUUGGGACCUCGCCGAGCAUAAGGUGCAUCAGCGGCCCAUGCCGGCGAGACAUCUCCAUCAUCUUGCGGUGCGGGAGCACGCUGGCGACGUGGUGGAGGCUUCCGAUGAAGGGAAGAGUCCAUGGCCCAGGAGGCAGCUGUGUCUUUCUCUUGCCCCCAGAGAGCAUGCGAAACCAGAGGGCCACAAGCGUGCAUAGAGCUAUGAAACACAAACUUAACCAGCCCUCCAUGGAAGGCUACAAGCUGUUCGCAAGUGCAGCUUGGAGUGAGACCCGGUAUAUUUAUGUGACCACCUACAAGUUCUGUUAAAACUCUGGACCUGCUGACUCAUGAACUUCCUAGUGUAUGCAACUAUAUACAAGUCGAGAUUUAUUGGUGUAGAGAACUAAAUUGGUGGCGGCUAGAUUGUUGAUGACAAAAUUUAGAGAUAGUAUGACAAAAUUUAAAUUAUUGGCGGCUAGAUUGCUGAUGACAAAAAUAGUGUACAGUACUAGACCUCUUUCUUCGCUCUAAAUUAUAUAAAUUCCUAGGUUUGCUAUCAGGCAUACUUUACUAUCAUCAUCAAAUGUACUUUGGUCGUGUUGUAUGUAUUAGCUCAUGAAUUUUUCUACAGAGAAAUUUAACAAGGGAAAACACAAUAACUUCAAUUACUUUGAAAUGGAGAAAGUGGAGUUCGAUACUUCUAAUGACUUUUGCACUAACCCAGGGAGACCAAUUUGCAAUCUUUCAUACUCAGCUAGCAGCCAGAAAAGAGAAACCUUAUCUGCCGGAAGCUUCGCCACAUAGCCGCCAGAAAAAGAGCAUGUAUGUUUUAGUAUUAAAAGAUAUGUCCGGCGGAAAAAACAACUUGUAUGCGUUUUGAAGGAAGAUGCAAUCACAAACCAAACCAGACCCAUAGUGCUAUAAACCAGAACAAUAUUGCCAGAAGCUUCACCACAUAGCUUCCGAAUUCUUUUGUGCAAGAUGCUUGAGUUCGUAAUGCCCGUGCUAAAUUUGGUGAAGUUUGGACAUUCGAUGAGCCAUGUCAAAAAAGACAAAAUGACCUCCGAACAAUGCAGAACAUCAAACUUGCUCACAUGCCUGAUUGUUUUUUGCAGACAGCUCCUAAAAUGUCCAAACUUCACCACAUUUGGCUUACUAGGUCUGGAGAGUUUACAGUUAAAUCAAUGUAUCUUGAUGUUAUUAAUUCAACCUCUCUUCCUAGUUCCAAAUAUGCUUGGGCAGUCAAAGUUCCUCUGAAAAUUAAAGUGUUUAUGUGGUUUGUACAUAAAAGAGUUAUUUAACCAAGGACAAUUUGGUAAAGCAAAAUUGGACAUGACCUACUAGGUGUAGUUUCUGUGAUCAGGAUGAAACCAUCAAACACCUUUUUCUUGAUUGCCCGUUGGCCAAGGUUCUAUGAUGGACGGUCCACAUUGCCUAUAAUAUUACUCCUCCGAGUUCUAUCAGCACGUUAUUUGGAACGUGGCUUAACGGGAUAGAGUCCGAAACAGCGAGACACAUCCGCGUAGGAGUAUGUACUUUAUUAUGGGCAGUCUGAAACUGCAGAAACGAUUUGGUUUUUAACAGAACAAUAAAUAUUCAUUUUUUGCAGGUUAUCUUCCGAGCCACUGCAUUGAUCCGUAUGUGGUCGCUACUCACUCCGACGGAGGCCGGAGAGCAUUUGGUUACUGGAUCUAUCCGGUGGGAGAUGGUAGCGCGGGAUAUUUUCAACCGGUUUGGAUGGCGGUCAUGUAAUAGGAUAGGCAAUUAGUUUACCUAUCUUUCUUUUGCCAGCCGGUUGUGGCGUCUUUUGGCUAGUGUCGUAAUUUUUCUAUGGCUCUUUGUGAGCUUUUCUUUACUUUCAUUACAGACCUUAAGACCUUGUUGAACCUAUUUGCUUAUUUAUAAAGUUGUCCGUAUGCAUCGUUCUGAUGCAGAGGCCGGGGAGUCCCCCCUUUUCGAAAAAAAUACAAGCUUAGUUUGAAAACAUAUAUCAAAAUUACCAUUUAAAAGAAUGCAUAUGUUCAUUUUUUUACAUGUAUACAAGCUUAGUUUGGAAAAACACGCAUGGCACCGGAGGCGGUGGGCGUGUAUAUAUAUAUAUGCAUUCUUUUAAAUGGUAAUUUUGAUAUUUGUUUUUCCAAACUAAGCUUGUAUUUUUUUAGAAACGAUAAAGUUCUUCAUAAAUCCAUUGAAACAUUCUCUAGCAACGCUCAUGAGGAGCAUAUGAGUUCCCUUUUAAUACACAGGCUCGAACUUAUUGUAUUCUGAAUACAUUUCCAUCUAUUCAUUUUUCCCAUGUAAACACGCAGUUGGGCACCAUGUUGCAUCAUUCAACUAUUCUUUAUUACCUCAUCCAGAAAUGUUUCUUUCUGGUUUCCUUGAUUUAACAUAACAAGAUACUUUUUAUAACUUAUCCGCGCAUGUAUAUGCUCAGAUUGUGGUGACCACAUGUCUCCUACGUACUCCCUCCGUUCCUAAAUAUAAGUCUUUGUAGAGAUUCCACUAUGGACUACAUACGGAGCAAAAUGAGUGAACCCGCACUCUAAAAUGCAUCUAUAUACAUCCGUAUGUGGUUUAUAGUGAAAUCUCUACAAAGACUUAUAUUUAGGAACAGAGGGAGUACUAACUAAAGUUUGAUGGAUUAUUGCAUGAUUGCGAUGCUUAUCUGCUCAUUUAUUUUUACAGUUGGUGAUCAGAUCGGAUUCGAGGAUCAUCGUCUCUCAUGUGUUACGUAUUAGUGAUCCUACAUGAUAGUGGAGAAUGUACGAAUAUGCAGCGUUGACAGUAACAAGGAAAAAUGGAUGUUUUAUUUUGUUUGUUUGGCUCUGAGAUAUAUUAAAAUUGGACAUAUCCAGGUCUGACUUGUUUUUUCAUAGAGGACACAGCUGCCUACUUGGACAUAUUUGGCCUUUAACCAUAUCUUUUGUUUGUCGCCUUCCAUGUUAUUAUUUUGAUAAAGUUUGAUUUCUUCCUUUCCUAUGCUGUAGAUACUUCUUCUCUUGCAACUGAAAGUACUUCUUCUGAUUACAGUGAGGCGGCUUGAUUAAUCAUUGGCCUCAUGGCAAAAUUGGGGACGGAGGAGGGAGGUGGCUUCAUAUAAGCAUGACUCCAAAAGAUCAGGGUAUGUAUGCCAGCAUGCACUGGAGUUGUUGGAUAAGUUCCUUUUUGUCAAAACACAUUUCAUUUUGUUAUUAGAAUGCUGGCCUGGUGUACACUGAUCAGUUGUGGUAUUCUUUCCCUGUGCAGGAGAUCAAACCGAAGAAAGAUAACACUCAACGCAACAUGCUCGUGUCGAUGAUAUGGGUGCAGAGGAAGAGUGUGUGGAUGAUCAGUGAGAGCAGGUACGUGCUUACCAGCCAGCGCAAGAGCAUCUGGUGGGCCCGGUAGAUCCCCAGGGAGGAGUAGGCGGGCGUAUAUUGUCCAUUUCUUCUGUAAAAAAAUGUCACUCUACACAAUAUAAUUGUUUAGAACAACACAUACUCGACUAAUCAUCCUUUAUAAAUCAACAGGCUUGUACGAGAUGUUAAAAUGUGUUCCUAUCUGUCUACCAUUAUUCCUCUAUUUUAUAAGUGUUAAUUUCAUUGAUUUCUUACUUAUAUGUAUAUACUGAUUGCAGAUUUGCUAGAAUGUCACUUUGCAAGACAUAUGAUCCAAUCCAUGUUUUGUCCUUACAAAUAGAUAAAUGCAUGAAGGCAUUGAGAUAGGUGGUGCAGAUGCUUACUUGUUGUCAACAUUAGAUGGUGGUUUGGUAAGUGACUAUUUUGAAAAAUAUUUUCUCAGUCUAACAUGUACACUAUAUUCACAUAGUAGCCUUGCUUCUGCACCCCAUCUCUCUCUAUAGCCUGUAUCUGCACCGCUCUUUGAUCUAAUUUUUGUCCCAAAAUCUUAGGCAGUUUGUUCCCUAUAAAAUAACAUGUAGCAUCAAAAUUUGGAUUUUCAAAAGGUUCUUACAAACUGAAUUUUAUCGAUACCACAUUCAUGAUAAUUUGUCAAUUUGUGUUUGCUUCCAAACACCCUGGCAUAUUAUAAUUUUGAAUAGGAGAGUCACUAGUAUACCUCUACUUGACUAGCUCAUUGAUCAAAGAUGGUUAUGUUUCCUAACCAUAUACAUGAGUUGUUAUUUGAUUAACGGGAUCACAUCAUUAGGAGAAUGAUGUGUUUGACUUGACCCAUUCCGUUAGCUUAGCACUUGAUCGUUUUAGUAUUCUGCUAUUGCUUUCUUCAUGACUUAUACAUGUUCCUAUAACUAUGAGAUUAUGCAACUCCCUUUUACCGGAGGAACACUUUGUGUGCUACCAAACGUCACAACGUAUCUGGGUGAUUAUAAAGGUGCUCUUGUACUUGUUGGGUUGGUGUAUUUCGAGACUAGGUUUUGUCACUCCGAUUGUCGGAGAGGUAUCUCUGGGCCAUCUCGGUAAUGCACAUCACUAUAAGCCUUGCAACCAUUGUAACUAAUGAGUUAGUUGCGGGAUGAUGUAUUACGGAACGAGUAAAGAGACUUUCCGGUAACGAGAUUGAACUAGGUAUUUAGAUACCGACGAUCGAAUCUCGGGCAAGUAACAUACCGAUUUCAAAGGGAACAACGUAUGUUGUUAUGCGGUUUGACCGAUAAAGAUCUUCAUAGAAUAUGUAGGAGCAUCCAGGUUCCGCUAUUGGUUCUGCGUGUAAUGCCUUUUGUACUAACCCCAUCGCUGAGACCAAUUUGCAAUAUUCGUAGCCAGACAAGAGAAAACGGCCCAAACUUUCAUACUGUAUACUCACUUAAUUUUUACAUUUAUAUAUACCUGCAGAGUCCAGAAAUGUAAGUUAUCAGUACCACUACCACUGCACUUGCAAAGCUGCCUGCCAUGGAGGGGUGGUUCAGCUUGUGUUUCAUUGCACUAGGCACGCCGAUUGCCCUUUGGCUUCUCAAGCUCGCCGGCGCCGGCGGCAAGAACAAACCACACAAGCACCAGCUGCCGCCAGGGCCAUGGACACUCCCGAUAAUCGGCAGCCUCCACCACGUGGUUAGCCUCGUCCCACACCGGCAAAUCACGCAGUUGUGUCGCCGAUAUGGGCCAAUGAUGCACCUGAAGCUAGGCGAGGUCGACGCCGUGGUGGUCUCCAGCGCCGAGGCGGUGGCGCAGGUGAUGAAGACCAACGAUCUCGCGUUCGCCACCAGGCCAGGCACGCCGAUGCAGGACAUCGCCGGCUGUGGCGGCAGGGGCAUCAUCUUCGCCCCCUACGGCGACCACUGGCGCCAGAUGCGCAAGGUCUGCAUUGUGGAGCUGCUCAGCUCCAUGCAGGUCAGGCGCAUGGAGAGCAUCCGGCCAGAGGAGGUUGGCAACCUCCUGGCCGACAUCGCCACUGCUGCGGCGGCCAGCGACAGCAUCAACAUCAGUGAGAAGAUGAUGGAGGUCAGCAACAACGUCAUGCCGCGGGCGGUGUUCGGCGGCAGGUUCACGCUGCAGGACGAGUACAUCCGCGAGUUAGACGUGGUGCUCACCCUGCUAGGCGGCUUCUGCCUCGUCGACCUCUUCCCGUUGUUGCGGUUGGCGCGGUGGCUCAGCUUCGGCGCACGGCGCAUGAAGAGGAGCUACAGCCACAUGCAAUGCAUCAUCGUCAACGUGAUCGAGGAGCGCAAGGCCGCGCGAGCUGCUGGUGAUGGCGCCUCAAGCACCCACGACGAGGACCUGCUGGACGUGCUGCUCAGGCUACAGAAGGAUGAUUCGUUGGCAUUCCCUCUAACCACAGAGAGCAUAUGCGCCAUCUUAUUUGUGAGUAUUUUUAACAAAAGAAACUUUUUUUUACUGCUAGCUGAUGCAAACAACGGCACAAAUUUUGCAUAUGACACGAGAUAGGAAAGAUUGAUUACUUUUGUUCCGACAAACUUAAAUCAUUAACCAUUUAUUUAACAUUAUCUAUGUCAUACAUUUCAAGAUUAUUUCUUUCUGCUCAGAAUUUCUGGUAAUCUACCAGUUACCGGAAAUUUUGAUGACCCCCCAGAAACUGUGGUAACAUUCAAUAAGAUUCAAAUGACCUCAUAAACAUGUGAAUGAUAGUGUGAAUGAAUUCAAGCCGGUCUUUUGCUUUCCAAUCACUAUUGCAAAGACACGUGUAGCAGAUCCAAAUACAAGAUAAUAUAAGGAAAAAAACAUACUUGACAAACCAAAGACCUAGACAUUGAUGUUAUCUCUCUCUCUCUCUCUCUCUCUCUCUCUCUCUCUCUGUCUCUCUCUCAAAUCAUACCGCGUGCUUGUUGUCUAGAAAAAGAGGAUCGAUCUUAAGUUCUCCACCAAUAAAUAUUUACCCUUAAAAAACAAUAAAUAUUUAAUGUUCUACAAUAAUAACACAACACUUGAUACAUAUAUAAAUGGAAGAAUUCUCAUAUUCCCUUUGAAUAGGUCAAUUUACAUACCGAAAUGCCGAACACGAAGGACCCCACAACGACCACGGUGGUGCUAGCGACAAGUAACCAAACUAAAAAUAGUGUAAAACCGAGACGGGAUUCCAGCAAUAAAAAUCAUUCUCAUGCAUUAUUACAAACCCCAUCCACAAUGUUUUGAAAAUGAAAAAUAAUGAAAUUAAAAGGAUAAUCCAACAGACGUAACUGACGAUGUACCUCAAUCCCCAUCCACACAAUAAAGGACACAUGCCACUCCGGAACUGCAACAUAACGGAAUUUCAUCAAUUCCAAAAGCUAGAAUUAUAAUGGCGAGUAGAAGCUCAACAAACAAAAGAAGUCAUGCCUCCUACUAGCCAUCCAACAAGCAUUCUUACUCUCCUAUGUGGACAUCAAAGGAAAAAAAUGUAAAACCCAAAGCACCAAUUGCUACCAGAAAGAUAGGGAUAUUAUUAAAGCCAAAUAGACUUCACGGCUACAAGCUAUUUAGAGAAAGUGUUAGAGCACUGACAUGAAAAGAAUAUGAGAUCAAUAUGACUAAUUAAAAAAUGGACAAGACAACUCUUGGCUUAAAAUACCAUUAAUCAAGCAAGCUUUACAACUACAGGCUAUUUAGAGCAAGUGUAGGAGCGCCGACGAGAACACAAUAUGAGUUCAACAAUACGAGUUCAAUAUGGCCAUUAUUUUUUAAUCACAAGAAAUGAGGUUCUAAUGGCUGAUAGAAGAUGAACAUACAAAAAGAAGGUCAUGCAAAAUUCUGAUUCUUUUUAAAAUAUUUGGUUAUCACCGUCUAGACGCAACACAGUUUUAAGUAAGUGGAAAGAAAUAAUCCACACUGGUUUCAUGUUGAAUAGCAUGUACAAGAAUCAAAUAGAAGUGCAUGCUAGCAACAAGGAUAGAGGGAUCGGAUCAACUAGAAAUAAAAAAAAGUCAACAAUGCCCUAGACAGUCGCAACCAACAAUGGAAGAAUUUUCCAUUUUAGGCUCAAGGUAUCGCAAACUUCAAUUCAAAAAGUCCCACAUCAAGAAAAUCGGCUUUUUACGCUAUCAUGCUAAAAAAAACAGUAUACUUAAAGCACCCAUAGGCGAUGCUGAGGGUUCUAUUCUAUAAAUCAUGUUCUCAAAUUUGGUGAUUAUGAGCACUAGGAUUUGAUUAACCGGUAUGUUUUCUAUCAUCUAACUAGUGCUUGUAGCAGAACUGUUAUCUACUUGAACCUUGUACAAAAAACUAGCGUGGUUGCAUCAUGAUAGUGUUGUCACCCUUAAGGGCGUGUGAAAAAACAAAUAAAAUUACAGGUGAAAAAUAACAUAUACAUCCACUUCUUGUUUUUCUCAUCAUUUGGCUUAUGUCAAUGAUACCAAAAGUGAAAAAAAAACUAGUGAGAAUCAAUAUUUAUGUUUUGCACAUAAAGAUGAACAAGGACACUCAACUGGAAAUAUGGUAAAAAAGAUGAGCAUAAACUAACCGCACUCUUAAAAUGAUUCAGAAAACAAGCACAAGAUGAAACCAAGAACUAUAUAUGUGAUGACAUCAUUUUUUUCUCCAACAAGCCUGCUUAUUCUCUUAUGUAAUCAUCAAAUGGACAAAAAAUAAUUCAAUCUCAAACCCAAAGCACCAACUGCCACCAAAAAGGUAGGGAUUUUAUCAAGGCCAAAUAUACUUCUGGCUACAAACUUUUUAGAGAAAGUGUUAGAGCGGUGACAUGAACGCGGUAUGAGAUCAACAUGACCAAUUAGUAGACGGACAACACAACUCUUGACUAAAAACACCAUUAAUCAACCAGGCUAAAAAUCGCUCAUUACAACUAAAUGGUCUAUAAAGAGUUAGGCUACUUCAACACAUUCAGACUAUUUUUGUUGUCUCGGUUUUACUAUUAAUUUUCAGUAAGAAAUAAGGUUAUAUACGCCCGCAAGGGCAAACCAUCCUUUACGCAUUUGUAUGUAUCGUAUUGUACAUACACAAACAUUUGUUCAUACUUCCAUACUGCAAUGUACUUACACUACUUUACUUUCUUUGGGGCAGAACUUAGGUCAGAGUAACUGUAAUUCGUUCCAAACACUGCUCGGCCGGUUUGCUAGCAGUGCGUGUGUGCAAAUUGUUUCCUGGCUGACCUCUUGAUUUUAUAUCCAUGAUGUACUGGUGGUUUGGGAGUUACUUCUUUUUCUUAUGAAAUUUAUCUCAUGAGUUUUCUGGUGUAGUCCGCAGCCAACUUGCACGUUUCAGAAUUUACUUACAUGAGUUUUUUGGUUGCAGUCUGCAUGCAACCUUUGGAUUUCAGAACUUACCUCUAGAGUUUUCUUGUUGUAGUCUACGUGAAACCUUCAGGUUUCAGAAUUUACCUCCGGAGUUUUCUCGGUGUAGUAUGCAUGUAACUUUCAGGUUUCAGAAUUUACCUCCGGAGUUUUCCGGCUGUAGUCUGCAUGCGACUUUCACGUUUGAGAAUGCGAUUAUGUCAACUUCAUCUAGGUCUGCACUACAAAGAGAACAACCUUUAGUAUGUAAGAUUUAUAAACUUGUUCAAGAAAAAAAAUCAAUUUUUUGUCCCAAAAGCAACCCAGCCAGAAAGCUGGAGUUGCUCUACGCAGUAGAAAACGCCCACUGUUUAGUUUUCAUAAUAAUAAAAAGGGCACUAUAUGUAUACAUUAGUUUGCAAGGUCAGCUGCAAACAGCAACAAAAAAUAAUAAUAUGAGGAUCAACAGACACAUGAUUGAUUAAACAUUUAAGGAGUUCAGACAAAGAUGUGUAGCGUGAUCCUGUUCGGUAGGUAGGAAAUCUUCAAGAAACAAGGCCUAGCUGGGUCAGUUCAUAAAGUUGUUAAAAUUGUAAUAUAGCCUUCCAUCUUGUAGGACCAAGCCUCCUUAUCAAAUUUGUAAUGCACAAGAGAAGACCAUGGUUGGGAUCAAAAUAUUACACUUACUAAUAAUCGUUUUAUUUAUGCAACCAGAGCCUGCUUAUCCUUUGGAAAAAAAAUACUAGUACUUACUAAUAAUCUUUUUAUUUAUGCAACCGGAUCCUUUGUUGGACCCUGACAAAAUCCCUUCCAUGAGCAUAUAUGUCGCGCGGUUAUUAAAAAAAGAGAAAAGAGAUACGCGAUGCCUCCCACUCAGACCCAACAACACCCCUGCCUCCCACCCCUCUUGGCCCCCAACAUCAUCCAUGAAAGCAAACUAAAAAAUGAGUACGAUACAGAUUGAGAAAUGCCUGAUGCUAUUGAGCAUAGGAACAAGACAGAAUGAGAAUACAAACAUGAAAUGCAGAUUGGAGAAAAAAAUAUUGAAUGAUGAAAAUGUCAAACAUAGUUACAGACAUAAUACUAAAAACUGAUUACUAAUAAUGAUUAUGUACAAUUAUGUUACUCAUUAGAGGACAGAAAAUAAACAUCCUAACUUACCUAAUGUCCACCAGCAACAUCAAGAUGCGCAAUUACACAAAAAUUAACUAAAGUGAGGGCACCUUGUUCUUUUCCCUAAAGAAUUGAUACUUCUUAUUCUUUCGUGAAGACGUGUUAGUAACUUGUUCUUUUCUGAAAAAGGUAAAAAACAAAUCAAUACUGAGCAGAUAUUUUACAAAGUGAUAUCAUGUAAAAAAACUUUUGUAUUUACAAAAACACAGAGCAAAUCUUGGCUGAAAAAUGUCUAAUAAUCAUCGUGGGGAGAAAGAGGAACAGAGAGGGUAGCUCCACAAAUUGUAGUGACAAGAAAAAUAAAAACACAAAAACUAACAGCUCACAGUUAAUAAGAUGAUAAAGAGCCGAAAAUAAGCUUCAAAUGGUUUACCUUUUGUUGCUAGUCUCCUCCGUCCGUCCCACUUGUCGGAGGAAUGGAUGUAUGUUAUAGAUACAUUCAUUUUUAUGCAUUUCUCUGGCAAGUAUUUCCGGAUGGAGGGAGUAUUAAAUAAGAUUGAGAAAACUAAAGAGAGACUAGCUAAGAAGAAAUGAAGAAGAUUGAAAGUAGGAACCUAAGAGACCGAGAAAGAGAGACUGAACAAAAGAAUGAGAAAAUAAAGAGUGAACAGAUGUAACUGUGAACCAGAGAAAACAGAAAAAAGAAUGAGAUACUCAUGGAAUUGCAAAAACUAAAAAAAAUGGAAGAAUGAGGAUAAAAACAUAAAAACACUAACCAAAUACUAAAUGACAAAGACCUAUGAGGAACAUGACUGAAGAAGUAUGUAAAUCAUGUCACUCCCUCCCUAUUUAAAGAAACAUGACUGAUAACUGAUACAAAACAGAAAAGAUGAACUUAUAAUAAGAACUAAACCCACAUGCUCAUACAGAAUGACUGAAAAUUGAAUGAAAUAAAUUAAAGAUAAAAUGAACUAUAAUAAGAACAUGAAAAUGAGUGUGAUAAACAAACUAAAGAUACUCAAUCUGAACAAUGAUAAUACACUGCCAUUAAUAUAUGACGAUAAAUGACGAAUUAUGGUAUUAAUGACUAAAUGAAGAUAUCUAAAGGGAAAAUGAAGACUAAAGAUGAAAAUAAGACUGAUACAUAGGCUAAGAAAUACUAAAACAGAGAAAAAUGAAAAUUAAAUAGAAUGAAAGUACAACACACUCAAUAUGACUGAAAGAGGAAUAAUGUAGAAAUAUGAAUGAGAAAAUUAAUGAGUAGUGAAGAAAGAACACUGAAUAGUGACUGAAGCAAUACAUCUGAGAGAUAAAACAAAAAGGAGACACCGCGAGGGAACAAAAAAAUUGUUCAUCAGUGGAUGUAGUGCUUUCCAUACAACUCUCGCUGUUUGACGAACCAUCAUCAUGAUCAUAUGCGUACGUAGCAUCCACAUGACGACAUCUGCCCCAUAGAAUCCACAACCCUGCUGCUGCCAAAAAAGAUGAAAAAGAAACAAUAAACUCAUAUGCUGGGGUGCGAGUGAGAUUUCAAAUAACACUGACCGAAACCAAAAAAAAUGCACACAUGGAAACAAAAGAAUGUCGAGUUUCUGAAUCCUGGACUGCAAGUGUCAAAUAAUUCAGUAAGAAAAAUAGAUAGUGGCUGUUCCGGGUUUACGAAAAAAAUAAGAAGUGCGAAAAACUAUAAAAAGUACUCUUGAAAAAUCUUUCCACUACUCGUCGCACUGCCGCGAAAACACAAACCCCACCAUUGCUGAGAAUAAAAAAAGUAAUGGGCUGCUACACACAUCUGUACUGACCGCAGAAAUCCUACACAUAUAUGACGGACAGUGAAGUAAACUUUCAUCCAUCAGGUCUUGAUGGAAUGACCUGACUGCCCCAUCAUAACAAAUGGAAUUAAAACAUGCAUGAUAAUUGGGAUUUAGCAGUUCCAGCAUAAGCACGCUUGCCUAAGCUGGGACAAAGACCAUAAGCACACAUGACACAUUCAGAAGUACAAGGAUCACAAUCCUAAAAUCCCUUUUUUGGGUUUCAUAUUGGGAUCUUGCAACUACCCAAAAAUGGGGGUAGCAGGCAGGACGUGGAAUUACCGCAGCGAUGGUACAUACAUACAUAAAACAAAGCACACACUCUGUAACUCUGUCCUUAUUGCUAAUCUUCUUCUUACCCAAUGGAGCUUCAGAUCCCCAUAACUAAGCUCGAUUUCACACCAUAAUCUGAAAAACAAAACAAAUCUAAUAUAUAUGCAAAAUUUUGCCAUAACACAGUACCUCAGAAGACCGAAAGUCCCUUGCGAAUAUAAAUGUGCCGACCUCCAUGGCAGGAACAAAAUCAACACAGAUGGCCUGAAUGAACUGACGCUGAGCAAGCCAACUCGGGGGAGGCAAUGAAAAGCCGGGGAGGAGGAUGUUGGAAACGCUGGCCGUAACUUACGCCAGCCCAUAUGGGCGACGGCUGGUUCCGGCCUCCCCGCCUGCUGCUGACAAACCCCAACGGGAGAGCUCCGCCAACCCGCUCUCCGUACCACCCUUUCUCCUUCCUCCCUCUGAUCCCCGGUAGCUGGUCACGCUUCAUGGCUGGGACGUGGGUCCACUGCUCGUCAACAUGGGAUCCGUGCCCUAGCACCCCCCCCCCCCCUAGGUGAGAGGGAGUAAGGGCAACAUUUCUAUGGCUUCUGCUUGAAAUGUUGACCUCACUGUUACAGCUUUAAAACCAAAACAUGAAGCCAUAGAAAGACAUGAGUAACAUCGAAACGAUGAAUCGAUCAAAUGUUGAUGUGCUACCUUUUCUCAAUCAAACACGUGCCUCGUAGGACAAGGACAUACCUGUGUAUCGAUCUUGCCAGGCUUACGGUUUUUAGCGUUGCUGCUUGUCCGACGACUUGCUGUUCAUAUCUUGUGUUGGAUGCCUAGUAGAGACAUCAACAUCAUCACUACAACAUGUUCGGACACAAAAGAGAAGCCAUCAGUUGGCGUGGCAAGAUUUCUAUGAAGAAGAAGAAAACAAGAUUAGAUCAAGAAACAACUAUCAGUUGGCGUGGCAAGAUUUCUAUCAAAAAGAAGAAGAAAUAUUAGAUCAAGAAACAGCAUGCAUGCUCUUACAUAUAAGGCGGAUCAACGAGUGCUAGGCGGCAGGCACAUGCAUGGCCGGCAAACCAUGAUCGGUCUAAGGGCCACCACGCACAGCUGCGCCGGGCAUGUCGACUGGUCUUAACUCGCUCCGCAUCUCUUGCACGGCAGCGUGGUGCUAGCCGGACAACACAUCGGCGUGGGCAUGGCACAACCCUGAGCUGCCGGUGGAUGUACAUGACGCUGCUUAGAUCGACCGUCGCCAUCUACAACGUGGAGAUUGAGGAGAGGGAAGGAGGAGGAAGGUGUGGGGCGGGGCGGGGCCGGGCUGGUCGAGAUCAAGGGGGCGUCCAUUUAUAGAGGAGAGGAGAGGAGAGGGGGGUCGUGGGCAGCGAUGAGAUGACUGAGCCGGGGACGCGGGGAGGCAUCGGAUGGGAGUGUGAUCCGCGUGAGGCGUGUGGAUUGGAUCGCAUGCGGAGCGGGGGAGGAAGGGAGGGAGGCGGCGCGUGGAUGCAUGGGGUAGUUAAAUGCGGUGUCGAUUGAAGGUUUCCAGGAGGAGGAAGCAUGCGUCGGUUUGGGAAGAGGAUAGAAUUAAUGGGUGCCUAGUUUCAAGGAGGAAGACGAGGGAAUCAAGGGAGGGUCUCUUGAAGGAAGGAAGGAAAGAGGUGUAUUCAUCCAGCCGUGGAAAACGCUAGCUGCAUGCAGUAAUUAUUCCUUUAAUUUCCUUCCUUGUCGCCAGAUUGACGCAUACGCGCGACGGAUUCCCUCUCUGACUCUCUCUAUGGUAUGGUAUGAUAUGUACAGCACAAACGAUUUAGUCCCAGCGCUCUCAGAAAUUACGCCAGCCACGUAAAGGUAGCCAGGCACUUUCCAUGCGUUCAAAUGAUUUAGUAUCAAGUUUCCUAGUGUCCCUCAAUUUGUAAGAUUUUAUUAUGUAUGCAGUAACUUCUUCCCAUUUGCUCGUGUCAGUUUUUAUUUUUUUAGGGAAUUUGCUCGUGUCUAUAUCUUUAUUUUUAUCUGUUUGAAGGAAUUUGCUCAUCUAAGACAAGACUCGUUCUCUAUAUAGCCAGGUGGGUUUUUUCUGUUCACAAUUUGAUUUUCUCAUGUAAGAUAAGACACCAGGUUUGCAAGUGCAUUCCUAGCAUAAAAGGUUUUUCUGUUCACAAUUUGAUUUUCUCACAUAAGAUAAGACACCAGGUUUGCAAGUGCAUUCCUAGCAUAAAAACACCGGCUCCAAUCCAAUUACCAGGUUGGCAAGUUUCAAAGUCCCUGCAUUGAACAUUUUUUCAUAACUUGUUAGAUUAUAAUUGAAAAAACCCAGAGAACACUCAGUCAUUCUUGACACCGACAAACUCGGUACUCUCCUCUCCUAGGACAAUGAAAAUUUUCUUGUUGUACCAUACAAAACACCGACAAAUAGCUCAGGAAUUCCUUGAUGCAAUUAAUAAUAUGAUCAACUUAACUCUUGAUGCAGUUAACCCAGAAAGAAAAUUCCCAUAACGAUGCACAUCAUUUCACAUCCCAACCUUCACAAUGAAGAUGUUACUUCCACCAGAUAUGAUCAAAUAGGAACACGCAUGCAUGUGCGCGCGCACACACAGCGCAGUGCAAUACAUCUUCACCAAAACAAAGUUAAAUAUCUAUGUCAUCAACUACUUCUCAGAUGAGGUGAUAAAAAACAUCUCGAGUCCACUACACAUCCCAGGAAGCACAGGUACUUCGCGUCCUUCCAUCACAAACAUUACAACAUGAUAGAGCCAAACUACUACAUACAUGGCUUAAUUCUGAAACCUAACCCAUCAAUGGAGAAAGCUCAAGGACGACGCCGCCAUCCAGUGCAUCUUUAUCAGCGGAGAAAGCCCGAGGACGACUGCACCAUCCAGUGCAUCUUCAUCAGCGGAGAGAGCCCGAGGACAACGACGCCAUCCAGUGCAUCUUCAUCAGCGAAGAAAGCACGAGGACGACGGCGCCAUCGUGUGCAUCUUCAAGCCCAAACCGCGUCAACUUCUGCAGCACCGCUUGGCAAGAGAAAAUGACCGGUGUCGUGCGCGAUGGAGAUUUUCCAUCAUGUCCGAUAGGUUUGAUGGACGAAAGGAGUAUCUUCCCGAGGAAUGCAAUCUGG